rnacentral:pre_miRNA from 1 species
AGUGGGAUAGUUGGGUCAAAUGAUGGUUCCAUUUUGAGUUUUCUGAGGAAUCUCUAUACUGCUUUCCAGAGUGGUUGCACCAUUUUGCAGUCCCACCAGCAAU